rnacentral:rRNA from 1 species
CAAUAGCGUAUAUUAACGUUGUUGCAGUUAAAAAGCUCGUAGUUGGAUUUCUGGUGGGAGCGAUCGGUCUGGCGCUUAGCGCGAGUACUUGCAUCGUCUCCGGCCAUCCUUGGGGAGAGUCUGUCUGGCAUUAAGUUGUCGGGCAGAGGAUCCUCAUCGUUUACUGUGAAAAAAUUAGAGUGUUCAAAGCAGGCUUAUGCCGUUGAAUAUAUUAGCAUGGAAUAAUAAGAUAGGACUUUGGUACUAUUUUGUUGGUUUGCGCACCAAAGUAAUGAUUAAUAGGGACAGUUGGGGGUAUUCGUAUUCCGUUGUCAGAGGUGAAAUUCUUGGAUUUACGGAAGACGAACUACUGCGAAAGCAUUUACCAAGGAUGUUUUCAUUAA